rnacentral:rRNA from 1 species
GCACCACAAGAGGUGGGACCUGCGGUUCAAUUGGAUUCAACGCCGGAAAACCCACCAGGGGCGACAGUUGGAUGAAAGCCAGGUUGACGACCUUGCCCGACUAGCUGAGAGGUGGUGCAUGGCCAUCGUCAGCUCGUACCGUGAGGCGUCCUGUCAAGUCAGGCAACGAGCGAGAUCCUCGCCCUUAGUUGCCAUCGGUGGAAAAGCCGGGCACUCUAGGGGGACCGCUGGCGCUAAGUCAGAGGAAGGAGAGGGCGACGGUAGGUCAGUAUGCCCCGAAUCCCCCGGGCUACACGCGGGUCACAAUGCGCAGGACAAAGAGAUGCAACCCCGUGAGGGGAAGCCAAACCCAUAAACCUGCGCUCGGUUCGGAUCGAGGGCUGUAACUCGCCCUCGUGAAGCUGGAAUCUCUAGUAAUCGCGUGCCAACACCGCGCGGUGAAUGCGUCCCUGCUCCUUGCACACACCGCCCGUCAAGCCACUCGAGUGGGGUUUGGAUGAGGUCAGCUCAAGUUGGGUCGCUCGAAUCCGAGUUCUGCAAGAGGGGCU